CCCUUAGAUGUUCUGGGCCGCACGCGCGCUACACUGACGAAUGCAACGAGCUUAUAACCUUGGCCGAAAGGUCUGGGUAAUCUCCAAAUUUCGUCGUGAUGGGGAUAGAUUAUUGCAAUUAUUAAUCUUCAACGAGGAAUGCCUAGUAAGCGCAAGUCAUCAGCUUGCGUUGAUUACGUCCCUGCCCUUUGUACACACCGCCCGUCGCUCCUACCGAUUGAAUGGUCCGGUGAAAUCUUCGGAUCUGAGAGAUGUCUGAUUAAUUUCGGACGCCUUUUGGAAAAGUUGCUUAAACCUUACCAUUUAGAGGAAGGUGAAGUCGUANCA
rnacentral:rRNA from 1 species